rnacentral:rRNA from 1 species
CCCUUAGUUAUCCUAGGUCGCACGCGCCAUACAAUGUGGCGCCCAACGAGUCUCCUUGGCCGACAGGAUGUCCCGCGAGCGAUCGGCGACGCAGCCAGCUCGGUCUUCGGGCAGACUCGGUGAGAGUGGCCCGUCCUCCUGAGAGGGCGAUCGUCGAUGCCUCGGGAUUCUGGGCAAUCUGGCAGAGCGCUACGUGACUGGGCUAGACUUUUGUAAUUUUUGGUCUUGAACGAGGAAUGCCUAGUAAUCGCAGGUCAGCAUCCUGCGAUGAUUCGGUCCCUGCCCUUUGUACACACCGCCCGUCGCUCCAUCCGUGGCAUGCGCCGGUGAAGAGGGGGAGGCAGCGUCGGCCGUGUAACAGCGGAUCGUACGUGGAACCCCUCUGAACCUUCGCACGUAGAGGAAGGAGAAGUCGUAACA